rnacentral:rRNA from 1 species
UGAUUGACGACGGUUUACCAACGAGUGGCGGACGGGUGAGUAACACGUAGGCAACCUGCCCAGAAGCGGGGGACAACAUUUGGAAACAAGUGCUAAUACCGCAUAACAACGAAAACCACAUGAUUUUCGUUUAAAAGAUGGUUUCGGCUAUCACUUCUGGAUGGGCCUGCGGCGCAUUAGCUUGUUGGUGAGGUAACGGCUCACCAAGGCUGUGAUGCGUAGCCGAGUUGAGAGACUGAUCGGCCACAAUGGAACUGAGACACGGUCCAUACUCC